rnacentral:lncRNA from 1 species
AUGGCUCCUUUAAGGUUGCUGCUUGGGGAGAGGGGAUGGAUUGUUGGCAAAAUUCGAGUGCUGCCAAGCUGGGAUCCUUGUCACUUCCAACCGAGCCAGCUCCCAGUGAGACAUGUUCCUCUCAAUCAAAGAACAACCUCUGAUCAGAAUAGCCUCCGUGUCCCUCCCUGCCAGUAUCACCUUCAGACUGAGCUCAGCGUCCGCAGCCAAGAUGCUACAGGUCUCAUCUAGCCCCUGUUGCCAUGCAGACACCAGCCACUGAACUCGUCCUCAGUCCGUACUCCCUGCUUUUGGCUGGUAUGACAGUUUUGCACUACCCAGCCCCAGCCAAGACUGUUCUCUC